rnacentral:rRNA from 1 species
AGUCGCACGAGAAAGCAGGAGCAAUCUUGUGAGUAAAGUGGCGUACGGGUGAGUAACACGUGGAUCAUCUACCUUUUAGUGGGGAAUACCCCUGGGAAACCGGGGACAAUACCGCAUAAGCUCGUGAGAGGAAAGCAGCAAUGCGCUGAAAGAGGAGUCCGCGGCUGAUUAGCUAGUUGGCGGGGUAACGGCCCACCAAGGCGAAGAUCGGUAGCCGGCCUGAGAGGGCACACGGCCACACUGGCACUGAAACACGGGCCAGACUCCUACGGGAGGCAGCAGUGGGGAAUCUUGCACAAUGGAGGAAACUCUGAUGCAGCGACGCCGCGUGAGCGAUGAAGCCCUUCGGGGUGUAAAGCUCUUUCGACGGGAACGAUAAUGACGGUACCCGAAGAAGAAGCUGCGGCUAACUACGUGCCAGCAGCCGCGGUAAUACGUAGGCAGCGAGCGUUGUUCGGAAUUACUGGGCGUAAAGAGUGCGUAGGCGGUGCUCUAAGUCUGUUGUGAAAUCUCCCGGCUUAACUGGGAGGGUGCGGCGGAAACUAGAGUGCUAGAGUGUGGGAGAGGUAAGCGGAAUUCCUGGUGUAGCGGUGAAAUGCGUAGAUAUCAGGAGGAACACCUGUGGUGUAGACAGCUUACUGGACCACGACUGACGCUGAGGCACGAAAGCGUGGGUAGCAAACAGGAUUAGAUACCCUGGUAGUCCACCCCCUAAACGAUGCAUACUUGGUGUGAGCGAUUCAUU